rnacentral:rRNA from 1 species
CUAGUNUUGUCGGCGGGGUAACGGCCCACCGGGGCGACGAUACAUAGGGGGACUGAGAGGUUAACCCCCCCACAUUGGUACUGAGACACGGACCAAACUCCUACGGAAGGCAGCAG